UUUAAAGUCUGAGAUUUUCUUCAUUUGUGUGGCUGGGAAGUUUUGUCUUUGUGCCAGAAGACAGCGCAUUUCAAGCUUCUCACAGAUUUAUCCCGUAAUAAGUGUAGAUCAAAGAAAUGAGACCAUGCUGUGUAUUAAGGAAAUUGAAUGAAAAUUGAAAUCGUUACAGAAGAUCUUACAGGAUAAAGAGAGAAGUAGUGUGACUGAACGAGUGCAGGUGGCUGCUAUUUUCUCUUUUUACCUUUGAGAUUUGCCUUGACUGGGACUUCUUGUAUUCUUUGGUGCCAUGGAUUUUCUGCCUUUCUUCAGGGAAUCUGACCCCUUUGCUGUUAUUGGCAGGGAAAUCAUCAACACUUCUGAGUAAAAGUAAAUAUUGAAAUGCUGCAAUUUUCUUUAGAAGAGCCAGUCAAAUAUUUACUGUUGUAUAUAGCGCCCUGUUUUCCAUUACUUGCCAGAGUAUCUUGUUUAUUGAAUGCUUCAAUUGUACAUCGAGGAAGGUGAUUUUGUGUUCUGGUUCCAUGGAAAUAAAUAGGAAGCUUUACUUUUGGAGCAACCUGCAUACGUGUAUUUGUGGAAAGAAAGAAAGAGAGAAGGGAAAAGAGGAUCUUCUGAAAAAAAGGACUCAAGAAGGCAAAAUUCGGAGCUUCGUGUUUGGAUCCAUAUUCCAG
rnacentral:lncRNA from 1 species